GAUCAUGGCUCAGGAUGAACGCUAGCUACAGGCUUAACACAUGCAAGUCGAGGGGCAGCAUGAACUUAGCUUGCUAAGUUUGAGGUGGCGACCGGCGCACGGGUGAGUAACACGUAUCCAACCUGCCGAUGACUCGGGGAUAGCCUUUCGAAAGAAAGAUUAAUACCCGAUGGCAUAGUUCUUCCGCAUGGUAGAACUAUUAAAGAACUUCGGUCAUCGAUGGGGAUGCGUUCCA
rnacentral:rRNA from 1 species